AUUGAACGCUGGCGGCAGGCCUAACACAUGCAAGUCGAGCGGAUGACGGGAGCUUGCUCCUUGAUUCAGCGGCGGACGGGUGAGUAGCGCCUAGGAAUCUGCCUGGUAGUGGGGGACAACGUUUCGAAAGGAACGCUAAUAACGCAUACGUCCUACGGGAGAAAGCAGGGGACCUUCCGGCCUUGCGCUAUCAGAUGAGCCUAGGUCGGAUUAGCUUGUUUGUGAGGGAAUGGCUCACCAAGGCGACGAUCCGUAACUGGUCUGAGAGGAUGAUCAGUCACACUGGAGCUGAGACACGGUCCAGACUCCUACGGGAGGCAGCAGUGGGGAAUAUUGGACAAUGGGCGAAAGCCUGAUCCAGCCAUGCCGCGUGUGUGAAGAAGGUCUUCGGAUUGUAAAGCACUUUAAGUUGGGAGGAAGGGUUGUAGAUUAAUACUCUGCAAUUUUGACGUUACCGACAGAAUAAGCACCGGCUAACUCUGUGCCAGCCGCCGCCGUAA
rnacentral:rRNA from 1 species